rnacentral:lncRNA from 1 species
UUAAGUUGUAAAGUAUGUUGAAGAAUAGUAUUGUCAUGUGCUAGAUAGUUCAUGAUUGUGUAUAAGUGAAGGUUACUCGAUUCUGGGGAAAUGUGUGUAAAGUUUAAUGUAUAAACAAUCUAUGUUUAUAUCUUCCGCAAACAGUUGUAGAAAUAGCGAACCGGAUCCGCGGCGAUUCGGGACCCGGAUUUGGGGCUGCUACAUAUCUAAUACACCUGAGUAUAUUAAAGUCCAAUCUUUGAUAGUUACUAGAGAAGAGAAGUUCAAGAUCCAACGGAUCGCUCAACAUAAAUCAGGAAAACAUUCCACUUUAUUAUUGCGUAGAAUUGAAUAUUGAUUAUUCAAUAGAAUAUCGUAGAAACUUUGAAAGCGUUGUACCCUUUCAUUAUCAAAUUAUUGUGUGGCAUAGAUUGCGAAAAAACUUGUUAUUGAUUAACGAAUUGUUCAACUAUUUCAAAGUUCCCCGAACUUUGGUAUUAUUCUAUCAAAUUAGAUAGUCUGUUCUUAUUAAUUAUUAUACAUUUAUUGUACGUCUUAACUUGCGGGGCAAAUUUGUUGCUCACCCUUGCUAACUAAAAUAUUUCAGCUAGGAGCGAAGAGGCCAACGAGUCAAAGAAGAACAAAGGCAAAGGCAAAGUACUGGAUUAGUUGUGAUGAACAUUAUGAUUAUUAUUAUGUUGUAUUUGUAAACCCUUUUUGGUAUAUCUAAAGGGUAUGUUUGUAAUGUUAAGGUUAGAGGACCUGGGACUAAUGUAUUAACAAUCUCUAUUAAUGACUUAUGUAUUACUAUUUCUAUAUGAAUGGGUAGUUAGAUGUUAUUAUAUUAUAGAUCGUGAGCACCAAACUCGGGGGUCAGGUGACUCGGAUUUGGGGGCGUCACACAUAGUAAUUGUAAUGUAAACUCUAAUCCACAUCUCAUAAUCAUUCCUAUUAAUUAGCACACAAUGUUCAAUUAGAUUGUGUUAACUUUUCGACUUAUGUAAUAUUCGAAAUUCAUUCAAGUGUUUACAUAUUACUAG